rnacentral:tRNA from 1 species
GCAGGGAUGCCGGAGCGGAAAACGGGCAGGACUUAAGAUCCUGUGACUUAGUGUCUACGAGGGUUCAAAUCCCUCUCCCUGCA